rnacentral:lncRNA from 9 species
CUUGAAUAUUAUCCUUCAUAUAAGUAAAUUCAUUUCAUUAAAGUAAAGUGAUUCAGUUGCACUCACCCAUUGACACAUCUCUGGUUAUUCACUUCCCCAGCCAUUGCAAAGCAAGCCUCUAUGAGACAUAUUUAGACUCCUUGGGAAUCCUUCAUGAGUUUAACUUAUCUCUUUAAUAUUUUGUCCUUAACAGAGAUUACUUUAUUAAUUGCCAUGAACAAGGAUGGUUGGACUUUGCAUCUUUGUUUUAAGCUCUUCAGGGUUUUUCCAGAAAAGGAAGCUCAUAACCCUUUACCAUUGAUACAUGAGGAUCUGAAUAAGCCUCCUAAAACCUCAAACAGGUCUUUUGUGGGUUUCUUCCUUUGUUGGUUUACCAGAAUUAUUAUAUUAUCACCAAUUAUUUGGCUGGGGUUAGCAAUUCCUUUGAACUAAAAUGGAGAAUGAAGAAACUUGAGAUGAUAUCUGUGAAGGAAUACCAAGAAGAGGAAUGGCAUAGAUUGUGUCAGACCUCUAGUCCCUCCCAUAAGAAGCAUGUGUAUGUAAUGUAGGGUAGGCUUUAAAUCUCUAAACUGCUGGCAGUUCAAAACCCGUCUACACAGAUCUUGCAUGGGGCAGCAGGCUAGGCUCUUGCUAAAUGUUCUUCCUUGGAAAGAAGACUGUGCUGGUUCACAAGUUUCACCACUGUAUGUAUCCUUCCACAAACUGGGAUUCAAAGAUAGAGAGAAGAGAGGGUGCCAGCCUUACCCUGAAUCUUGACCUAAUGCAGUGACUACCUGCCAGCCCCCUCUUAAGAUCUGACUGUAAUCUAAACUGCGGGAAGAUCUCAUCAUAAAUCCAAAGAAUUGCUGAGAAGCAAUAAUACAGCCUCUAUCCCACAGUCUAGUGACACUUAAAGGGUCUGAUUUGCUCCCCCCUGGUAGAGGAGGCAGUGGUUUUGUGGCAAUAUAAUCCAUCUGUCUUUUUUUUUUUUUUUUUUUUUUUUUUUUGUCUGUUUGCUAUUUCUUGGGCCGCUCCCGCGGCAUAUGGAGGUUCCCAGGCUAGGGGUUGAAUCGGAGCUGUAGCCCCCGGCCUACGCCAGAGCCACAGCAACGCUGGAUCCGAGCCGCGUCUGCAACCUACACCACAGCUCACGGCAACGCCGGAUCGUUAACCCACUGAGCAAGGGCAGGGACCGAACCCGCAACCUCAUGGUUCCUAGUCGGAUUCGUUAACCACUGCGCCACGACGGGAACUCCUCCAUCUGUCUCUGAUGCAGCCUUUAAGAUACGCUGUGACGCUGAAUAAUGUCCCAGAAUCCAAACCGCGAGUGAGGCAAGCAGAUCAGCAGAGCUUUUGUGGUACUUGGGACUCAACUGACCUGAGGUCUUCCUGGGACACCUUCAUGUAAAUGAGUGCUGAGGACGUGAUUUGGACAGCUUAAUCCUACAUUGUCAAGAAGGCUGGAGCCAACAUAAUCUCCAGACAUGCUUUCAUUCAAAACCGGAAUACAAUUGGACUAUUUCAACUUUGAUUUCCCAUUAUCUCCCAGAGAACUGCAACAGUUUACUAGGAAGAAAGAGAAGAAAAGGGGAAAAGAGAAGAAAAAGACCAGUCUAUAUCCUUUCUGAAAUCCUGUUCAGAGGAUUUGCUGCAACGGCAUUCCAGCUUCAAAUAAGACUGAUUAAAAUAAAAUUACUCAGUCUCCUGACCCAUAGCAAAUUUCAUGAGCUGCAAUUUGUCUAGUAGUUGAGCUGUGAGUACAAUCUGAUUGGCUAUAAUUUAGGUUUAUAGUUAAUUUUUUUUUUUUUUUUGCCUUAAACACAGUAGAAUCCAGUGAUCCUGAAAUAAAGAACUAGAAAGGAAAAGAAGACUUAGUAUAAGCUAAGAAAAAAAAUGGAAAAAAGAAUUAAAGAUGAUAAUGGUUUGCUUUUCCAAAAGCUUGAAUUUUCAAUGGCUCUAGAGCUUUGCAGGGGGAGAAUGUCCUUGCUUUGCAUUUGGGCUUUCUAUUCUAAACUUCCUAGUUGUGUUUGCCCUGCUGGAUUGCCUUUGCCAUUUUUUUUUUCUUUUUUUUUUCUGUGCUCUUUGUUCCCCUCUUCCUCUGUUUUCAUCUCUGAUUUCUAGGUCUGUAAAUCACCAGAGAAUGUCCAAUUUUGAAAAUUCUGAAGACCCAUGGUGCCAAUAAUUUCCAGCCUUUCCUCCAGGGAAAGUGGCUUUUUCUUUCCAGGCUUCGCCACUUUGCCUCUUCUCCUAGUUAUCAGUGCUCUUGGUGACAAACUGGCUUCUCUUCCAAAUGAUCAAAUGACUAAUAAGUCACAUUAGCAGCCCUGGCUGGAGGACACUGUGGAGAAUGCUUUUGACCUUCUGUUGCCUGAGGUGUUAGGACAAACUUUUCAACAUCCAGUAAAAGAAAUGCAUGUUAAAGGGAAGAAAAACAUUAGGUAACACAUGCCUAUUUCUUUCUCUUUACCAAGCAGAACCACAGAGAAUAUAUGUAGAGUGAACCCACUUUGGCUUUAGAGCAGUCUUGCUAUUCAGGUGUCUCAGGUGAGACGUGCUGGCCUGCGAGUUUGAGCAGAGGGACAAUUAGAAACCCAGGCGAGUGUCGAGUCUUCUCCAUAAUUCAUCACUGUAACUGAACAGUAAUUAUACACACUUUGGACACAGAAUUUCCUUAUAGAGACAUUCCAGUUCUUCCUUUCUUUAAUUAGACCUCACUUUGUGGCAGCCUGGGACCAAUGAGCUCACUUGGGGGUAGUGGUUAAAGAGGAGAUGGAUCUGGGCACCAGUUCCUAUGACUGUGCUGAUGUCCUCUUGAUGCCACAACAUGGUGAGUUCUAAGGUUGGGAUUGGCAAGACCUUCUUUAUUUUCUUGGAAGUAUCUGUGAUAUUUUUCUUAGAGACAAAGCAUUUAAAGAAACAACUCCUGCUUUAUUUGACUGACCUAGAAGUAUCUGGCACACAGUAGAUGCCCGAUUAAAAGCAGCAGAAAAUACAAUCAAUGGUACUACCACUCAUUCCUGUAAUGAGUGCCUGGAGCUAAUUUACUCUAGGCUAUAGUCUAAGUGGGGAACCCCUCUCCCAACAGCCUGUAUGCCUCUCCCUCUCAGGGAGUGAAAACAGGAACACUGCAUAUGCCUCUGGGACUUCUUAAAACCAUCCACUGUUAGGCAAAGAAAUUUGGAACAGCUCUGCAAAAACAAUGGAUUCAGGAAUUCCUUCUCUUCCCUGCUUUGCUCUGUAGAUGAAAAGGAGCUACUUCUAUGGAAGGAAAAACUAGCUUGGUUUCAGAAAAUAUUCGGGUUGAAUGUAAGCUCUGUGGGGUUGUAUGUUAACUGCAACAAAUUGCUUUGCAUCUCUGAGGCUUAGUUUCCUUUUCUACAAAAUGAGAAUAAUAAAAUCUACCUUGCCUAAUGUUAGGAGGAUUAAGUAAAAUGAGUUCUCUAAAACUCAUGGUACCUGGUAGGAUCUUAAUAAGUGAGCAUGGUUAUGAUAAAAACAUACGAAGAACACUUAGCACUUUUCUGCAGAAAUCCCCCUCUCUAAUUCACUUCUUCUCAUAGAUUGCUUAAGGCUACUCUAAAAAAGGGGGAGGUUUUAUUGAACUACCAAAGCUUAUUUUAAAAUAUGCAAUCAUGAGAAAGUCUAAGAUGAGAAUCAACCAUUCUUCCUAUGUUUUCAAGACUGCUAUAAAGUCUCAUUAAUUUGAUAUUCAGGAGAACAUGGGAAAUUGAUUCUAACUGUAAGUCAUUUGAUUUUUUCAGUUAUUAUUUAAAAGAUUCAAGCUCAUGCACAGGGAGAUAAUGAAAUCCGUGUACCAAUCAGCCAUCUUCAGGUAGUAUGAAAACCCAAACCCUGACAACCUCAGAGGAUUUUAGAUUUCCACAUUUCCUCCCCAAGGUUACAAAGAUGACCUGGACUUCUAUUUUUGUUUUAGAGUUGAGAAAACCAAGGUUCUUAGAGAUUGUGAUUUGUCCAAAGUCACAUUUAACCUGAAAGAGGAGUACAGCCUGGGGCCCAGAUCUGAUGCCCACUGCUCGGCAUUUCUCUUUCCUGACACUUGCCCAUGGAGAAAGAUUCGAGACGUCCUUAAGCAGAAAUUGCAUGUUAACUUGGCUAGCAUCACUUUAUCUGCACCUUCUGUCCUCUUAUUAGAGUAAUUCAAAUAGUUAAUAACUUCUAGUAAACAACCAUUUUCUAGAAAAUGUUAUGUUGUGUAACCCAAAAUCUGUUUCAGAUUUCAGAGCAAGUAGUUUUCACAUUACCUAUUUGCAAAAAUACACUGCCUUAGUGAUACUAGUUCCAUUUAAUUAGAUGAUAGAAAACAUUUUCCCAUUAGUAAUACUCUUUACUCAACCCAAAGAGGUGAUGUUAGAGUGAAGUAUUUCUCACUCUAGACUCACUCAAAACAUCCCAAGGAGGUACAUAGCUUUAGGCAGAAGUGAUCAUUGUCAAAUUCUUAAAGCCCCUGAGAAUUUUGGGUUUUUGGAAGACCAGACACCAGAGGGUGCUAAAGAGCUGCAUAAUUUACUUUUGGGUCUUUAUUAAGUUCCCAUGGAAAUGGGGUCAGCUGGCACUGAGAGAAGAGGUUGGGUAUGUUUGGUGCUGGGGGAUGUGUUCCUGAGCUCAAAACUCUGGAGGUAUAUGCCUACCUGGAGCCAUAGGCCACAUUAAUGGACCGCAGUAUGGCCAUUGGCUGGUAGCUGCUGACUUGACAGUUGUUUUGGUCAAUCCCAUUGAUUGUGAGGAAGUCAACUGUUAAAAA